GAUGAACGCUGGCGGCGUGCCUAAUACAUGCAAGUCGAGCGAACAGACGCGGAGCUUGCUCCUUUGACGUUAGCGGCGCACGGGUGAGAAACACGUGGAUAACCUACCUAUAAGACUGGGAUAACUUCGGGAAACCGGAGCUAAUACCGGAUAAUCUAUUGAACCGCAGGGGUCAAUAGUGAAAGUCGGUUUUGCUGGCUCUUAUAGCUGGAUCAGAGCCUCAUUAGCUAGUUGGUAAGGUAAAGGCUUAUCAAGGGAACGAUGCGUAACCGACCUGCGAGGGGGGUAGGCCACACUGGAGGUGAGACACGGACCUGGCGACUACGGGAGGCAGCAGUAGGGAAUCGUACGCAAUAGUCGAAAGCCUGACGGAGUAACGCGACGUGAGUGAUGAAGGUCUUCGGAUCGGAAAACUCUGUUAUUAGUGAAGAACAAAUGUGUAAGUAGCUAUGCACGUAUUGACGGUACCUAAUCAGGAAGCAACGGCUAACUACGUG
rnacentral:rRNA from 1 species